rnacentral:lncRNA from 1 species
UCUUCAAUUAUAGAUUAUUUUUUUUCUCCUUGUGAAUAGGACUUUCUUAUAAAUUCUUUCAGGUGCUGCUUCUCACUGCUGCUCACUUUUCACUAGAAAAAAAAUGCCUUUCUUGAGCUAUAAGGGAAAAUCCAAGUAAGGAAGAAAAACAGGGGGAGCUGAGCGGUCGUGCACCAUGCGGGUGCUGAUGACUCAAGGAAGAUGAGUGCCUCGGAGACUAAACUUGUGCCAUGAGGCAGGAGUCCCACUGACCAGUGUCUUCAUGAUGGUGUCUGAAAUAGUGCUUCUGCUGUGACCAACCUGGCAGGCAGGUGGAGCUCUGGCUUUGUUACACAAAGAUCAGAUAACAGAGUGCAGAGGAGGCAUAAAAGUCGGAAGCUGGUCGGUUCUCCCAGUCAAGCUUGUGAACCAGCACGCAGACAAAGGUGAGUUUGCAUGCAAAUGGAAAUUGAUGCCUGAGCAUUCAUGACAGUAUGGAGGUACUAACAUUUGAGUAUUAGGCCCUGAGGAUGCAUCCAGUACCUUGUGUGAAGGCUGUGUAGAACCUGAAACUCCAAAAUCUCUAUUCAGAGCUUUACUUAAACAUCUAUAUAUUUU